rnacentral:rRNA from 1 species
UACGUAGGGGGCAAGCGUUGUCCGGAUUUAUUGGGCGUAAAGAGCGUGUAGGCGGCCUGGAAGGUCAGCUGUGAAAACUCGAGGCUCAACCUCGAGACGUCGGUUGAAACCACCUGGCUAGAGUCCGGAAGAGGAGAGUGGAAUUCCCGGUGUAGCGGUGAAAUGCGUAGAUAUCGUGGAGAACACCCGUGGCGAAGGCGGGUUUCUGGCAGACUUCUGACGCUGAGGUGCGAAAGCUAGGGGAGCGAACGGG